GCAGUAGCCGCGGUAAAACGAAGGGUGCAAGCGUUAAUCGGAAUUACUGGGCGUAAAGCGUGCGUAGGCGGUGAGUUAAGUCUGCUGUGAAAUCCCCGGGCUCAACCUGGGAAUGGCAGUGGAUACUGGCUCGCUAGAGUGUGUCAGAGGAUGGUGGAAUUCCCGGUGUAGCGGUGAAAUGCGUAGAGAUCGGGAGGAACAUCAGUGGCGAAGGCGGCCAUCUGGGACAACACUGACGCUGAGGCACGAAAGCAUGGGGAGCAAACAGGAUUAGAUACCCCGGUAGUCCCUGUCUCUUAUAC
rnacentral:rRNA from 1 species